ACGUAGGACACAAGCGUUAUCCGGAGUUACUGGGCGUAAAGGGCGUGUAGGCGGACCUAUAAGUCUAUUCUGAAAGCUCCUGGCUAAACUGGGAGAGGCGAAUGGAGACUGUAGAUCUAGAGUGAGGAAGAGGAAAGUGGAAUUCCGCGUGUAGUGGUGAAAUGCGUAGAGAUGCGGAGGAACACCAGUGGCGAAAGCGACUUUCUGGUCCUUAACUGACGCUGAGGCGCGAAAGCAUGGGGAGCGAACGGGA
rnacentral:rRNA from 1 species